AUUCUGAUAGCUCAGUUGGUAGAGAAAGAGACUCUUAAUCUCAGGUUGUGCGUUCACAACCAUGUUGGAAAA